rnacentral:rRNA from 1 species
GUAGGGGGCGAGCGUUGUCCGGAUUUAUUGGGCGUAAAGCGCGCGCAGGCGGUUGCGUGAGCCCGGCGUGAAAGCCCCCAGCUCAACUGGGGGAGGCCGUCGGAGACCGCGCGACUUGAGGCCGGUAGGGGAGAGCGGAAUUCCCGGUGUAGUGGUGGAAUGCGUAGAUAUCGGGAGGAACACCAGUGGCGAAGGCGGCUCUCUGGACCGGUUCUGACGCUCAGGCGCGAAAGCGUGGGGAGCGAUCCGGAUUAGAUACCCGGGUAGUCCACGCUGUAAACGAUGGGUGCUAGGUGUCGGGGGUAUCGACCCCUCCGGUGCCGUCGCUAACGCAAUAAGCACCCCGCCUGGGGACUACGGCCGCAAGGCUA